rnacentral:rRNA from 1 species
AGUCAUAUGCUUGUCUCAAAGAUUAAGCCAUGCAUGUCUAAGUACAAGCUGUGUUCACACGGCGAGACCGCGGACGGCUCAUUAAAUCAGUCGUGGUCCAAAUGGGCCAGUGCUUAUCUUACUUGUGAUAACUGUGGUAAUUCCAGAGCUAAUACAUGCAACUCAUACCCCGAUUGCCUCUCUCUUGUAGGGAGUGUCUUGACGGGUGCUUUUAUUAGACCAAACCGCUGAGGGCGUGCGCCUCUCGGGGCCACGUCUGACUCGUUUAAUGGUGACUCUGGAUAACCUUCUUUGACAAGCGCACGUACCCCUCUUUUGAGUGGGACGGCGCUGCCACUUUCGAGUGUCUGCCUUAUCAGCUAUCAACCGUUCGUUACGUGCGACCGAUGGCUUUGACGGGUAACGGGGAAUCAGGGUUCGAUUCCGGAGAGGCAGCCUGAGAGACGGCUACCACGUCCAAGGACGGCAGCAGGCGCGCAAAUUACCCAAUCCCAGCAACUGGGGGAGGUAGUGACGAAAUCUAACGAUGCGGGCGCCCUUUCUAGGGCCCCGCAAUCGGAAUGAGCACUUUCUAAACAACCUGUUGAGAACCUACUGAAGGGCAAGUCUGG